AGAGUUUGAUCCUGGCUCAGGACGAACGCUGGCGGCGUGCUUAACACAUGCAAGUCGAGCGGUAAGGCUCCUUUCGGGAGUACACGAGCGGCGAACGGGUGAGUAACACGUGAGCAAUCUGCCCUUCUCAUCGGAAUAACCAUUGGAAACGAUGGCUAAUGCCGAAUAUGACCUCGGAACACAUGUUCUGAGGUGGAAAGCUCCGGCGGAGAAGGAUGAGCUCGCGGCCUAUCAGCUUGUUGGUGAGGUAAUGGCUCACCAAGGCAUUGACGGGUAGCCGGCCUGAGAGGGUGACCGGCCACACUGGGACUGAGACACGGCCCAGACUCCUACGGGAGGCAGCAGUGGGGAAUAUUGGACAAUGGGCGAAAGCCUGAUCCAGCAACGCCGCGUGAGGGAUGACGGCCUUCGGGUUGUAAACCUCUUUCAGCAGGGACGAAGCGAAAGUGACGGUACCUGCAGAAGAAGGACCGGCCAACUACGUGCCAGCAGCCGCGGUAAUACGUAGGGUCCGAGCGUUGUCCGGAAUUAUUGGGCGUAAAGGGCUCGUAGGCGGUUUGUCACGUCGGGAGUGAAAACUCAGGGCUCAACCCUGAGCGUGCUUCCGAUACGGGCAGACUAGAGGUAUGCAGGGGAGAACGGAAUUCCUGGUGUAGCGGUGGAAUGCGCAGAUAUCAGGAGGAACACCGGUGGCGAAGGCGGUUCUCUGGGCAUUACCUGACGCUGAGGAGCGAAAGCAUGGGGAGCGAACAGGAUUAGAUACCCUGGUAGUCCAUGCCGUAAACGUUGGGCGCUAGGUGUGGGGACCUUCCACGGUCUCCGUGCCGCAGCUAACGCAUUAAGCGCCCCGCCUGGGGAGUACGGCCGCAAGGCUAAAACUCAAACGAAUUGACGG
rnacentral:rRNA from 1 species